rnacentral:lncRNA from 1 species
GUUUUAAUUAUGAAAAAGUUAAUAAUGACUUUAAAAAGCUGUGUUUCUUCUGUUGUGGACAGGGAUCAGGAGGACUUUUAUGAUGACGCAGGCGUCAUGGACCAAACACAAGCAUCACUAGUGUCCAAUACCAAAAACUCAGCACAAGCAUUUUCCUUCCUCCCCCCACCUCCACCUGGUCAUCCGACAAUCACAUCUGUGACUCCGCCCCCUCCGGCAGACUUCUCAUUUCUCCCUCCUCCUCCUCCAACGGAUCAGGAAGACUUGUAUGAUGACACAGGUGUCAUGGACCAAACACAAGGUCUGUUAUUUACCUUAGUUUCUAAUAAAUGUUAAAGGAAUAGUUCACCCAAAAUGAA